rnacentral:rRNA from 1 species
GACGAACGCUGGCGGCGCGCCUAAUACAUGCAAGUCGAGCGAAUGGAUAGGAGCUUGCUCCCUGAAGUUAGCGGCGGACGGGUGAGUAACACGUGGGCAACCUGCCUGUAAGACUGGGAUAACUUCGGGAAACCGGAGCUAAUACCGGAUACAUUCUUUCUUCGCCUGAAGAAAGAUGGAAAGAUGGUUUCGGCUAUCACUUACAGAUGGGCCCGCGGCGCAUUAGCUAGUUGGUGAGGUAACGGCUCACCAAGGCAACGAUGCGUAGCCGACCUGAGAGGGUGAUCGGCCACACUGGGACUGAGACACGGCCCAGACUCCUACGGGAGGCAGCGGUAGGGAAUCUUCCGCAAUGGACGAAAGUCUGACGGAGCAACGCCGCGUGAGCGAAGAAGGCCUUCGGGUCGUAAAGCUCUGUUGUUAGGGAAGAACAAGUACCAGAGUAACUGCUGGUACCUUGACGGUACCUAACCAGAAAGCCACGGCUAACUACGUGCCAGCCGCCGCCGUAACAC